rnacentral:rRNA from 1 species
UACGAAGGGAGCUAGCGUUGUUCGGAAUUACUGGGCGUAAAGGGCGCGUAGGCGGUACUAUAAGUUAGAUGUGAAAGCCCCGGGCUUAACCUGGGAACUGCAUUUAAGACUGUAGAACUAGAGGACGAGAGAGGAAAGUGGAAUUGUGAGUGUAGAGGUGAAAUUCGUAGAUAUUCACAAGAACACCAGUGGCGAAGGCGACUUUCUGGCUCGUAACUGACGCUAAGGCGCGAAAGCGUGGGGAGCAAACAGG